CUUCCACCUGCAGAUCGUCUCCUUUGGAGCUGCAGACGAGACAGGAGGUCAGGAGGUCAGGAGGACUUCAGGAAGUCGGACUGCUCACCGUUAACAACAGAAGGAAGGAAGGAGAGAAGGAAACAGGAAAGAAACCAAGAAAAAAGGAGAAGAAUACGUUUAUUCCUGUUGGUGUUCCCACGCUGCACUGAAACUUCCUUAUUUUUCAAUUCAAACAGACUGAAGUUGGAGAAAACUCCUAAGAGUCACUUUUUGAUUUUCCACCUGCUGAUCCAGGAGAAAGAGUCCGGACAUGGACAGAUGUGCCGAAGGCCGGGCGUUGGCUCGCUCCGUUUCGGGCUCCCUCAGGGCCCGGUACUCACUGACCGCGGAGCGGCGGCCAGUUGGCGGACUCAACUUCCUCACAAAGCAGGGAUGUCAAAGCUGCAACACACAAGCACAACGUCUGACAUGCAUCCUGAGCAAGCGGUGGAGCCCUGAGGCCGCCGCGCACGGCGCUGCUGACCCCUCCC